AGCCUCUUGAAAAUUUAAGAGGUAAUUUCUGCCCGGUGUAUUUAUUAACGGCCGCGGUAUCUUGACCGUGCGAAGGUAGCAUAAUCAUUUGUCUUAUAAUUGAAGACUGGAAUGAAGGAAUUUACGAAGAAAAUACUGUCUUAUUCAAGUUUUUAAAAUUUAUUGUUAAAGUGAAGAAACUUUGAUGAAAAAAUUAGACAAGAAGACCCUAUUGAGCUUUACUAUUAGUUUUAUAUUAUUUAGUUAACUUAAUUUUAAUAUAAAAUAAUAUAGUUGGAUUGGGGCGAUUAAGGAAAUUUUAAAUAACUUCCUUUUUUAUAUUUACUAAUAAGUUGUUUUUGAUCCGUUUUUAACGAUUAAAAGAAUAAGUUACCAUAGGGAUAACAGCGUAAUCUUUUUUUAGAGUUCUAAUCAAAAAAAGGGUUUGCGACCUCGAUGUUGGACUAAGAUAUCCUAAGGGUGUAGGCGCUCUUGAUGGUAGGUCUGUUCGACCUUGAAAAUCUUACAUGAUCUGAGUUCAGACCGGUUUAA
rnacentral:rRNA from 1 species